UGGGCAACCUGCCCCAGACUCAGGGAUAACCCCCGGGGAAACCGGGGCUAAUACCCGAUACUCCGAUCGAACCACAUGGCUCGAUCGGGAAGGCUCCGACGGUCUGGGAUGGGCCCGCGGCCUAUCAGCUUGUUGGUGGGGUAACGGCCUACCAAGGCGACGACGGGUAGCCGGCCUGAGAGGGUGACCGGCCACACUGGGACUGAGACACGGCCCAGACUCCUACGGGAG
rnacentral:rRNA from 1 species